CUGCACACACCGGCACACUGAUGAUUUACUGACACCAAAAAGAUGACCUAUACUUCUGUAUUCACUGUUGGUAGCCAGCUUCCACAGUGCAAUGGCAACUCUUUUCCUCACAGGCAAACAGGCUCUGAAGUUGGUGGUUUGCUUCUCCAUCGCUGGAUGUAGCUUUGCACAAAGGUAUAAAAAUGUUUACUCCAACAUUCUGAAAUUGUGCACCCACUGUGUGUGUGUGAAUCCAGGGACGGUCACAUCCCACCACUCAUUGGCGCGGCGGAACACCCAAAUGACUGGUCGGCGGCGCUG